UACGCAGGGACCAAGCGUUGUUCGGAUUUACUGGGCGUAAAGGGCGCGUAGGCGGCGUGACAAGUCACUUGUGAAAUCUCUGAGCUUAACUCAGAACGGCCAAGUGAAACUGUUGUGCUAGAGUGCAGAAGGGGCAAUCGGAAUUCUUGGUGUAGCGGUGAAAUGCGUAGAUAUUAGGAAGAACACCGGUGGCGAAGGCGGCCCACUGGCUCGAUACUGACGCUGAGGUGCGAAAGCGUGGGGAGCAAACAGG
rnacentral:rRNA from 1 species